GGAUGUAGCGCAAUGGUAGAGUGCUUGGUUGGCAAACAGGAGUCCCUGGGUUCAAUCCCCAGUACUUCCC
rnacentral:tRNA from 1 species